GCCUGCGUCGUUCAGUGGCAGGACGCGCCUUUCGUACGGUCGAAACCGGGAUUCGAUUCCUCGCGCAGGCUCCA
rnacentral:tRNA from 1 species